UACGAAGGGGGCAAGCGUUGUUCGGAAUCACUGGGCGUAAAGGGCGUGUAGGCGGUCAGGGAAGUGGGAUGUGAAAUGCCCCGGCUCACCCGGGGACCGGCAUCCCAUACUGCUUGGCUUGAGUACGGGAGAGGAUGUGGGAAUUCCUGGUGUAGCGGUGAAAUGCGUAGAUAUCAGGAGGAACACCGGUGGCGAAGGCGCACAUCUGGCCCGAUACUGACGCUGAGGCGCGAAAGCUAGGGGAGCAAACGGG
rnacentral:rRNA from 1 species